UAGGGAAUCUUCCACAAUGGACGCAAGUCUGAUGGAGCAACGCCGCGUGAGUGAAGAAGGCUUUCGGGUCGUAAAACUCUGUUAUUGAAGAAGAACGUGUGUGACAGUAACCUGGUCAUGCAGUGACGGUAUUCAAUCAGAAGGUCACGGCUAACUACGUGCCAGCAGCCGCGGUAAUACGUAGGUGGCAAGCGUUGUCCGGAUUUAUUGGGCGUAAAGCGAGUGCAGGCGGUCUUUUAAGUCUGAUGUGAAAGCCUUCGGCUUAACCGAAGAAGGGCAUCGGAAACUGGGAGACUUGAGUGCA
rnacentral:rRNA from 1 species